rnacentral:lncRNA from 1 species
GAGUUGCUUAUAUUUUAAUCUCUUUUUUAAAUACAAUUAAAUAUGCAAAGAUGUAAUUUGUUAAUUAUCAUAUUCAUAAAGUUUUGCCAUAUGUUGUAACCAUUGUACUUUAAUAGUGAAAGAAGAAAAGAUGACAUAUGGUUACGUUUGUUGUGGAUUGCUAGAUUUUUUUUCAUUCAUAGCUUUAGUUGUUUGAUUCCUGGUAAAGAAAUAGCUUAACAUGCUGUCCUUGACACUUCAAAAAGAAAACUAGAACUUAGUCUUAUUUUAUGGCUUUAUUUAACUGUAAGGUUUAUAUAUAAAAAAAAAGUAAAAUUUGUUAGCCCACCAGACUUAAAACAUCACAGUGUGGGCCUGUUUACUCAAAGGCUGGAGAGGUGGGUCAGAGAGAUGGAAUAGCUCUGACUGCUCCUCCAAUUCCUCAUGGUGGCUCGAAUAAGUCGCACUGAGAUCUUAGGCCCUCUUCUGAUAUUCAUGCAUCAGUGCAUUCAUGUUUCCCUGAGUUUAGAAUUAAAUGUAUAUUACAUUUUGUGAUAAUGUUUUACUGAUUGGUUAGUACUUGCCUAUAUUAUCAAGCCAAGAAUAGGGUUAUGAGUUGUUCUAAUUACAUGCAUCAUGUAAUCAUGGCCAUAUGUAUGGCCAAUAGGCCAUGAUUUUAUGUCAUUCUGAAAUCAAGAAAGAAAAACGUAUUUUACUCUUCUAGUUGGCUGCCAAAUUUGUUUUAUUUUUUAAAGAUUUAUUUAUUAUGUGUAAGUACACUUCAGACGCACCAGAAUAGGGAGUCAGAUUUCAUUACAGAUGAUUGUGAGCCACCAUGUGGUUACUGGAAGUUGAAAUCAGGACCUUCCGAAGAGCAGUCAUGCCGGGUGGUGGUGGCGCACACCUUUAAUCCCAGCACUCAGAGGCAGACGGAUUUCUGUGUUCUAGGACAGCCAGGGCUACACAGAGAAACCCUGUCUCAAAAAAAAAACAAAAACAAAAAAACCCAGAAGAGCAGUGCUCUUAGCUGCUGACCCAUGACUCCAGCUCUCCUGCCAACUUUAAACCGUUUAUUGGUUUCUCUUUUUUAAUAUUAAAAAUCCCGUGUGAAACAUCUCAAUUUUAGGUGAGAAUUAAAUGUGUUUGAAGUUUAAGCAUAUGGUACAUUUGUACUGUUAUUUGUAAAUGAUUAGCAGUAUUAUCAAAAGUGAAAGAUUUCAUUAUUUGUUUGUUUGGUCUUUAGUACUCAAAAUCUGUAAUUCCCCUCAGGUGUUUCUUAACUUUUCUUUAUACUUUUCUGUAUACUUGUUCUGCUUUUGUUUGAGACAGGGUUUUAUUGUGUAGCUUUGGCUGUUAUGUAGAGCUGACUGGUCUGGAACUCAGAUAUGUUUUACUCUGGCUCCUGUCACUCUUUAGUUAUAUAAAUUGGGUUGGUUUUUUUUUUUUUAUGACUUUCAUGUAUACUGUUGUGUUUCUUAAGCAGUUCUGCCUUACAUUUUAGGUAGCUCUUAGAUUAUGUCAGGUUAUACUUGUUUAUAGGGAAGAAAUACAAGGAAAGGCUUCAAAAAUUAGUAAAAGUGCCUUUAUCUUUAAAGGAAAUAUUGAAGGAAAAGCACUUGUUACACUCAGAAUAAUUUUUAAUGUGGUAUUUUUUUGAAUAGCUUUGUUCCGUGCUAUUUGUCUGAUACUUUCUUAGGUGAUUAUUCAAGUAUCUCGAUUUCUUAAUGCAUUAUUUUAUCCUUAGCUGUUUGUUUUUAUGCAUUGGAAUGGGAUUUGGUCAGAUAAUAUGCUUACGGUGAGUUCUAUAACAACUGCCAUAAUAUAUUUGGUAAUUCCCUGAAAAUUGGAGUUACGUGAGACCCUGUCUCUAGAAUAGAAAAACCACACCUAAAGAACACCAAAUAGAAACCAUUGCAUCACCUCACUUGAAAAAGCAAUUGACUAUAGACAUGUUUGCUUUAAGGUUGAAUACUGUUGGGUCCAGCAGUUUCACAUUACAAUAAUCAAACUGUGGAUAAGUUGCUGUUUCUGGUUUUACAUUUUGCUAAGAGAAAUCAUUAAAAUGUUAAUUUUUUUAGGACAUUUUUCCUAGUGUACUAUACUUGGUCUUUUACAUGUUUAUUAUAUGUUGGUUCAUAUUUUUUUUUAAAAGUUGGACCAGAGAGAGAGGUCUUUGGAUUUAAAGCACUUUAGACUUUUGCUUCAUUAUCAAGGUUUGAUUCCCAUCAAGCACAUCAUAGCUUACAAUAAUAUUUAACAGAUUUUAGGUUUUCUGGCCCCUGAGGGAAAAAUCAAUACCUGUGAUGUGCUUGGAUGCAGGCAAAAUUCUCACACAAGAAUUUAAAUAAAUAAAUCUUUGGCUGCUAAAAGGUUUUCCAAGUUCUUCAUAGUACCUACUAUAUAAAAACCUAACAUAUUGAUAUGUCUUUUACUUAGCUUUUUUUUAAAAAAAGAUUUAUUUUAAAUAUGUGAGCACACUGUCACUUUCUUCAGACUUGCCAGAGGAGGGCAUCAGAUCCCAUUUCAGAUGGUUGUGAGCCACCAUGUGGUUGCUGGGCAUUGAACUCAACCUCAAGUACUCUUAUCCUCUGAGCCAUCUCUGUAAUCCCUUUGUAUAUAUUUUAAACAUAAGACUAUAUUCCUGGCAAAGAGGAGAUAUUAAAGAUUUUUACUCUGUUUAUUUAGGCUUUCCAACAAUUUCACUUUGUAUUAAUGCUAUCAUUUCAGGAUAAAACCAACCUUACAUUUUUACUUUUUUUCUUUCUGGAAUGAUUUCUGGGGAGGAUUUUUGUUUGUUUUUAAUAGAUUUAGAUUGCAUAUAUGUCCUUAAACCCUCAUAGGUUUGGUUUCAUUUAAGAAAAUUGCCUCCCCAUGAACUCUUACCUGUGUCAGAAUUUGCUUUGUAGCUCAAGCUGACCUAAGAGCUCUGAGACGUUUUGCCUCUAUCUCCCAAGUACUGUGAUUAAAGCUAUAUGCCACAGUGCCCCCUUUUAAAUAUAAUUUUUGCAGAAGACAAGGUUUUAUAUAUUAGUCUAGCCUAAAAGUUGGUAUGUUGGCUUCGAUGACUUUGAACUUGUAUUCAUCUUGCACCUCCCUUUCUAACUCUUAAGAUUAUUAGCACAGUGAGUUUAUGCGGUGGUUGGUGUCAAACCCAGAGCUUCAUGCCUGCUAGACAAACAUGCUUGACAAAAGUUCCAAUCCCAGCUCCUGUAAUUUUUAGGGACAUGCAUUUGCAUCUGAAUGAAAUGUGUGAGCAUUCCUUUCCCCUUCUCAUUGUCUAAGUAUUUGUACUUUUUGUUGCUAUCAUAAGUUAAGCUAAAGAUGUUUUAAGGUAGUUGUGCUUAGCUUAACUGUUGUAUUAUGGUAAAGUGAAUUUUAGUUAAUUGUCCAGGGAUACUUACACAUUUUCCAUGAACCUAAUUUUUAUUCUUCCUUUUUUAGCCUCAGCUUUAGCUGCAGCUGCGUCUGUUCAACCUCUUGCAACACAGUGUUUCCAACUUUCUAACAUGUUUAAUCCUCAAACGUAAGUACAUUUGUAUAAUAUGUUUAACAUUUAGAAUAUUUCACAUUUGAAAAAUUAUUAAAGUGAUGGCCUUUUUUCACUUUUUAAUUCCAUUUAUAUUUUAUUGGGCACAUUGAAUAAAAUUUAAUAUUCAUGAAAUUUCUGUCACCAAUCUUUUGCAUACACUUGUUUUACCUGCUAUGAGUAUUUUGCUUCUAUGUAUGUGUACAUGUACAUAUGUGUCUAUCACUUGUGCUCAGGGAGGUCAGAAUGGACAUCAGGAUUGUUGCUGUUUGCUGGUAACUGAAGCUGGUACUCUAUAGGAAUAACAAGUUAAAUUUAUCUACUACAGGAUUGUUUUCUGUCAUAGAGUUAAAACCUAGGCCCCUGAGCCCUGCAUGCCAGGCAGUUCUGCCACUGAUAAAUCACAAGUCCUCUUUUUUGUUGUUUUUUUAAAUUCCAACAGGGUCUUAGCAUCAAUUGUUAGAGCUGGCCUCGUGAUCAAUUAGUAGCAGUACUGUAGUCCAUGCAGGCUUCUAACCUAUGAUAAUUUUAUCUGCUUUUAGUUUACCUAUUUUUACUAAUGUAUGAUGUUAAUAAUUUAAUAAUUUUUGUAUAUGUAUCCCUCUGGCUACAUAAGUCUAUGGAUUCCAAAGUUCAACAUUUGGUUACUUCCUCAAAGUGGUUAUUAAAAGGGUUUAGCUUGCUGCUUUAUAUAGAAUUCUGGUCAUUAU